rnacentral:rRNA from 1 species
AUUGAACGCUGGCGGCAGGCCUAACACAUGCAAGUCGAGCGGAUGAAGGGAGCUUGCUCCUGGAUUCAGCGGCGGACGGGUGAGUAAUGCCUAGGAAUCUGCCUGGUAGUGGGGGAUAACGUCCGGAAACGGGCGCUAAUACCGCAUACGUCCUGAGGGAGAAAGUGGGGGAUCUUCGGACCUCACGCUAUCAGAUGAGCCUAGGUCGGAUUAGCUAGUUGGUGGGGUAAAGGCCUACCAAGGCGACGAUCCGUAACUGGUCUGAGAGGAUGAUCAGUCACAAUGGAACUGAGACACGGUCCAGACUCCUACGGGAGGCAGCAGUGGGGAAUAUUGGACAAUGGGCGAAAGCCUGAUCCAGCCAUGCCGCGUGUGUGAAGAAGGUCUUCGGAUUGUAAAGCACUUUAAGUUGGGAGAAAGGGCAGUAAGUUAAUACCUUGCUGUGUUGACGGUACCAACAGAAUAAGCACCGGCUAACUUCGUG